UGACACAAUGACAUAGAUCGAGUGGCAUUCGAUAAAGUUAAAGUGAAAUGACACUAGAGAUGGUGUGAGGUAAAGAACCAAUGUAUUGUAAAGAAUGAUAAAAAUGACAAUGUUUAAAGUUAAAGUAAUGUGGGGAGUAAAGAACAAGAAGUGCUAGAGGUAGCCAAAAGUAAAGAAUGUAAAGAAUAUAAUUACUAGAGUUAGCAAGAGUAAUGAAUGGUAAAGAACAAUGAUUGCUAGAGUAGCAACAUAAAGUGAUGUAAUGAACACUAGAGCUAGUGUAAAGUCAAGAUUGAACUUAUAAAUCCUUUGAGUUAAGGAUAUGAUCAUACUUGCUAUGAGUUCCGUGCUCGAGGGCGGUCGCUCCCCCUCGGGCGAUGCGCUCCGGAGUUAUGCAUCACGGGUUGGAGUAAACCCGAAGGACGGUCCUAGCGGGUGAGUUCCUGCGAUGAUGGACUUAAUGUGAAGCAAGUUAAAGUAAUGUGGGGAGUAAAGAACAUGAAGUGCUAGAGGUAGCCAAAAGUAAAGAAUGUAAAGAAUAUAAUUGCUAGAGUUAGCAAGAGUAAUGAAUGGUAAAGAA
rnacentral:lncRNA from 1 species